ensembl:lncRNA
CUGCAACCAAAGCAGCCUGUACCAUCCCUCUGGCACUUUUGUUAUACAUCUUCUAUGUAUGCUAGAUGAAGGCAGGUGUGCCCAAGAGACCGGCUGGCUCCCAUUUGCACUACCAGCUGCUGCCAUAUCGGUGCAGUGGAGCCACGUGGAACUGGGGCUUGGAGCUGUGGCCAGCAAAAACAAUUAACUUUGGAACAAGGGCUUUGAUUGCUAUCUCUCUGACGUCACCUUUACAUUGAUGUGAUUCUAUAGGCUGCGGUGGGGUCAUUGCUGAAUCACACUGGUGUGAGCAGGGAACAAUCAGGCUGUGUGCUUUUGGGGCAGUGAAGGUGCUUCUGUUCUGUGAAAAGAAAGAAAGUCGGUUACGCAUCUUAAAGGGUAAAUAAGUUAACCGAGAAAUUCAGAUGGAGCCAAAAGCAUUAUAAGCAAAGAUACUGCAACAACGUUCUAACUGUACUGCUAGUUUAAAAAUAUACAUAGCCUAAUUAAGUAAAGAUUGACUUAGCCAUAAAUAUG